CGGGACGGGGGAGUAAUGCUCGGGAAUCUAGCUUAUGGAGGGGGAUAACUACGGGAAACUGUAGCUAAUACCGCGUAAUAUCGAAAGAUUAAAGUGUGGGACCUUCGGGCCACAUGCCAUAGGAUGAGCCCAAGUGGGAUUAGGUAGUUGGUGAGGUAAAGGCUCACCAAGCCGACGAUCUCUAGCUGGUCUGAGAGGAUGACCAGCCACACUGGGACUGAGACACGGCCCAG
rnacentral:rRNA from 1 species